rnacentral:lncRNA from 1 species
UAAAAUCGGGCCAAAACAGAAAUUUGGGACAAGUUUGAAAAAAGAAAUAUAAAACAUUGAAAAGAUAGAAAUCACAGAAGGAUCAAAAGCACAAUAAAACCAAAAAAGUAAAGUGGCGCUAUUCCCUUUGCAAUUAAAACCAGAAAAACCAAAGGGUUGUCUGCCAUUUUCUAAAGCAAAAUUAAAACACCCCAUUUAUCAACCCAUUUGCCGAAACUGGAAAAAACAAAGGGGCUUUCACCCUUCUUCCCUCUGCUAGGACCAGUGAACGCGCCCAUCAUCGCCGGACCACCACCAGAUCUAGUGGCCGACAUCGCGCAAUAGGGGUUUCAACCCCGUUUUAAAACACGCGGUAAGUGUAUUCAUUUUUCCCCUUUCUAGUACUAUUUUUGAGAAAGAAAAACAAAUCGAAACUUAAAAGGUGUGAGAUCUGAAAGAAAAUCACCUAACAAUCAAUUUCUCUGCGAUUUUCCUCUGUGUCUUGUGGUAUUUGUUCGUAUAUUCUCUUUUUUAAAUCCAAAAAAAACGUAAAAAAAAUACACUGUUUAAACGAGUUUAUAUAGCCUAAUUUCUAACUACUUGUUGCGUGCUUGCUGGUGCCAAGCGGAGAUCGCGGGGAGGUGGUGUGGCGCACGACUCGGAGUUGCGCGACGUGCGGAGCCCGGAUUCAGGCUUGCGGCGCUGGCUUCCCUGAUGCUGGGUUUCUCAUUUCCUUUUUUGUUUUUUUGGUAUUUGGCCUAGGUAUUAUGUGGGCUUGUGUUUUGUUUUGUAUAUUGGGCUGAGAGAUGUGGGUUAGGUUUUGGGUAAUCUGUUGGGCUUUGGGUUUGUUUUAAAUUUGGUCCUACAGUAGGGUUUUGGCAUUCUUAGCUUUGAUUGAUUGCUUCAGAGUUUGAGGAGUGAAGAGGUGAAGUAUGAAAAAUAUUUUUGCAUGACUGAGAAGAAUCAUUCAUUAGUGGUAGGGUAUACAAAGAUUAUGAUUUUUUGCGUUAUAUUCCUUCACGCUACUUUUUUAGAUAUGUAUAUCAUAUAUAAUAUUUAUAAAAAAUAUUGAAAAAUGUUAACAUUUGAAGUAGUUGAAAUGAAAAUGAAGGAAAUCGAGGAGAUCACUCAAUCUGUCUUCAAACUCCAUUGUUGUUUUAAUUACUAUCACCAUCACCAAAAUGCUAUUCAAUAUUAUUAACG